UUUGGGGAUCAGAAAAUACCAUGAGCACAAAGGUCAGGAUGACUACAGAGGUCCUGGUUUAGCCUCUCUUGAAAGUAAAGGUUGUUGUCCCAUUAUACAGAUGAGGAAACUGAGGCUCGGGUGUUGAGUAGCUGAGCCAAGAUCAGUAACACCAAGGGCCUUCAGGAAGCCCUGAGCUGCCCACACUCAAGGGCCAGGCAGAUGCUGUGGCUUCAGUCUUGUCCCACUUUGGCAAGAGCUGUCCCUGGUCCCAGCCCCAGUCAGAGCCCCAUGUACAUGGCCUUCUGAAGGGAAGGACUGAGUCCAGAUGGGUGAGUGAACUGCUCCGUCCGCACACAGCAAGCCGAGAACGGGAGGAGGGGAGAGGCAGCAGGGAAGACUGCAGCGGCCAGAAGAGCUGUGGAUACGGCUGCUGGCCUGCCGGGCUGAGCGGCCACCGGGGAUGACAGGACAGUCUCCCAGUAUUCACAGGGUGUGAGUGCUCUGGAAGGAGCAUCUUCUACUCUGGAAUGAAGGGGACCGUGGAGAGAGAAGUGGCCGGUACAGAAUUCGGUGGCAGUAAUCUCAUUCACAACGUUGUACAGCGACCAUCACUGUCUAUUUCAAAGCUUUUCACGACCCCAAACAGAAGCUCUGAAUCAAACACAAGACUGAACCAGACCCAGUGGUGACAUCUGAAGACAGAGACAGGAAAAGGAGCCUCACACAAAGGAACAUAAAGCCAACUUUAUAGCGACUUUCUAAUGCAAAGUUUGAUUAUGAUCCUGUGAGAGACCCUCAACAAUUCCACUCAUUUCUACCAACAAGGAGCACAGAGAUGCACAGGGCGCUGAAGGCCCCAAACCAGGCUAAGCUGAGACUCUUGAGUCAUAUGA